rnacentral:rRNA from 1 species
AUUGAACGCUGGCGGCAGGCCUAACACAUGCAAGUCGAGCGGAGCGGCGGACGGGUGAGUAAUGCCUAGGAAUCUGCCUGGUAGUGGGGGAUAACGUCCGGAAACGGGCGCUAAUACCGCAUACUAUCAGAUGAGCCUAGGUCGGAUUAGCUAGUUGGUGGGGUAAAGGCCUACCAAGGCGACGAUCCGUAACUGGUCUGAGAGGAUGAUCAGUCAUUCGUGAACUGAAUCCCGGUCCAUCUCCCUCGGAAAGUCAGAAGUGGGGAAUUUUGGACAAGGGGCUAAAGCCUGAUCCAGCCUUGCCUCGUGUGUGAAGAAGGUCUUCGUAUUUUAAAGCACUUUAAGUUGGGUGACGUUACCAACGGAAUAAGCACCGGCAAACUUCGUGCAAGCUGCCGCGUUAAUAG